rnacentral:rRNA from 1 species
CCUACGGGAGGCUGCAGUGAGGAAUAUUGGUCAAUGGGCGAGAGCCUGAACCAGCCAAGUCGCGUGAGGGAGUACUGCCCUAUGGGUUGUAAACCUCUUUUGUCGGGGAGUAAAAGCAGGACGUGUCCGGCUGUGAGAGUUCCCGAAGAAAAAGCAUCGGCUAACUCCGUGCCAGCAGCCGCGGUAAUUCGGAGGAUGCGAGCGUUAUCCGGUUUUAUUGGGUUUAAAGGGUGCGCAGGCGGAUUUUUAAGUCAGCGGUAAAAUCGUUGGGCUCAAACCCAUCCAGCCGUUGAAACUGGGGGUCUAGAGUGUGCUAGAGGUAUGCGGAAUGCGUGGUGUAGCGGUGAAAUGCAUAGAUAUCACGCAGAACCCCGAUUGCGAAGGCAGCAUACCAGUGCACAACUGACGCUCAGGCACGAAAGCGUGGGUAUCGAACAGGAUUAGAUACCCGGGUAGUC